GGGCUGGCAGCCACAAGGGAAGGAUCUCUGCUUGGAGACUGCUUCCUUUGGUGUGUUUGGUGGGCCCUGAUCCUUGGAAAGGGAAUUCUGGCUGUGUCCUAUUGCAUGUGAAGAGAAUGUCCAGGCUGUCCAGUUGUCUAAGCAUCUCUCUGGCUUGCUUUUCUCCAGAAAAGUGUUACCUAAAGGCUGACUAGGAAGACUAAACGUAGAUGCUACAACUGUCCUUCUCCAGGCUCAGCCAGAGCCAGUCCUUUCCGAAGCUGUUUGCAAAGGAGGGAGAUCACUGAUCAAACUCCUACUCCGUGUGGGAGAGGCCAGCUCCUCUGGACUCCAGAUGUGACUCUGAGAGACUCUUAUUGCCCCAUCUCCAGCAGUGAUUCCUCUGCGGGUUUCAUCAUCCCUGGGAAAGUGGGCAGGAGAAGGCCAAGAGUGUUGUUCUUCUGGAGCCCUUCCAUCAGGCUGCAUAGGAAGAGGCUGGCUGUGCCUGGGCUGCAGGGCAGUGCUGGAGCUCCCUGUGAUUACCAGUGCUGUGUCCACCACCGUGAAGCCAUUCCCCUGGUUGCUGGGGCACUGCCAAAUGCGAGAAGCUCUCUGGCUGCGUAAUGAACGUGUGAUGUUCUGAUGGCUACGUACAGAAGAACUGCUGCAGAAUAGGCUGUGUGUCUUGUCGGAGAUUAUAAGUUAAAUAGGGGCACUUUGCGUCAUUGUUUUGAUCUUCAAAAUACAAGGAAAUUGAAUGCAAAGAGCUGUAGGGAACUUUCAAAGGCAUAUGAGCAAUUAGGAGCAUGAAUCCUUUUGGCUGAAUAAUCACUUCUGAAUGUUUUUCUCUUCAUGUAUCCUUAACUCCCCUCAAAGUACUGAUGGCAAAAUAGGUCUGGGAAAACUUGACUUCCUCAGGCUGAUUUGUCCUAUUGGCAAGUCUCUGGAUGUUAAGAGACAUUUUAGAUUUCGUCCUACCCUCUGAUGGCUACUUUUACCGGGUCGGUAAAAUAAAGAUCUGUAAUGUUGAACAAUUUCGUUUUUAUGGGAAUUCUGCCUCU